rnacentral:rRNA from 1 species
CACGUAGGGUGCGAGCGUUGUCCGGAAUUAUUGGGCGUAAAGAGCUCGUAGGCGGUCUGUUACGUCUGCUGUGAAAACCCGCGGCUUAACCGCGGGCUUGCAGUUGAUACGGGCAGGCUAGAGUUCGGUAGGGGAGACUGGAAUUCCUGGUGUAGCGGUGAAAUGCGCAGAUAUCAGGAGGAACACCGGUGGCGAAGGCGGGUCUCUGGGCCGAUACUGACGCUGAGGAGCGAAAGCGUGGGGAGCGAACAGG